AACGUCAGUCGCCGAUGGCUAAUUGGUGCAAUAUUGAUCCUACGUUCGGAGGCUCUUUUGCAAAGGGAAUGCAUUCGUCCUGGGAAUAACUACAGAGCGGAAGUGCCCUAAUAACCCUUAAAGAUUCAACGAAGUGAUAACUGUGCGAAAAUGCAGAGUAGACUGACUUUGAUCCUCCUUGGCGCUCAUCCCCGCCAUGUCGCUGCCACAGUGUAAACAACCCUAGGCAGCCCCUCUCGGAAUGAUGAACUGGUGCCUUUGCUAGUUGCUACUCAGUUCUCUUGACCUUUAUACAACUGGACAUCAUGGAGUCUUUUGUGAGAAUGGAGCAUGACCCAGAUGGGAAUUCCCAGCAGGUGGCGGUCAUCAUGACAGGCCAGUAA